rnacentral:rRNA from 1 species
CACAAUACUCUCUUCAGCCCGAUGAUUAACUGCUCCCAUGUACAACCACUGUUUCAGCGAGAUCUGGAAAGCAAGAGGUAGUCAGCACCACAAUGCAACCAACGGUGUGUACAACUGUGAAGGAAGGUCAGCUCUACUAUGAGUUUGAGCAUGACACACGAUAGCUGAAAUUGACUUUUCUUCAUUUACAGGUUUUGCUUCACUGGUUGUGUCGUUCUCCUUUCCUGCCGUCUUCGCUUGCCUAUUGCAGUUCUGGCCAACUCUUGGCAGCUAUUGCUGUGGCCUCUAUUAGUGUCAACACCGCCUAUUCAUACAUCACUGCAGCCUAGGCAUGCCUCUCCUCCAUCGUUGCUGCGUAUGCCUGGUGCUUCUCACACCAUAGUUUGCCUCUUUUUCUCAUGGUGCAUUGCUCUCCUUUCUUCACUAUCUGCUAUUUGGUGCCUGGUUUCGUUUGCCUACUUCGCGGUCCAGGAACAGCACGGAGCUUGCUGGUGUUGGAUCUGACGGCACGGAGUUCCUCCCAUUUCCAGAGCUACUAGAUUUGAAGAGGAGAUUGCACCGUAUUGAUUUGGGGAUGCAUUCCGAAGGACAAUCAUUUUUUAUUCACUUCCUGGGCUGCCAUUACUCAAGUUUUCUUGGAGCUACGAAGACUCUGGCAGCCAACUUAUUUGUCGGUAUGGACUAGCCCUUCUUGAUCUACUCAUCCUCACGUAAGGAAUCUCUCCACUUAGUAUUUUACCCCCUCUUUCUUUAGGUAUGAUUGGGCUGCCAGGAAAUCCUUUACUACCUGGUUACCUUUUAUGGUCAAAUAUUGCUACGGCAUAUAAAUUGUUAAAUGACAAUGAUCAGAUGCGUUCACAUCAGAGUUGCAUAUGAUUUCGUUACAUAGAGAGUUUGGCUAACAUUAUGUUAUUCUAGAUUUUAAGCAGAAGCAAAAUAAGAGUGGUCCCUACCUUUUCCUACCAAAGGCCUCACUGUGCUGAGUUUUUCACAUGUCUAUGGGCUAUGAACCAUCAGUUCAUGGUUGUGGCUUAGGUUGCUAUGAACUGAUUGCAUUUUUGUACUCGUGAGA